CUACGGGCGGCUGCAGUGAGGAAUAUUGCACAAUGGGGGGAACCCUGAUGCAGCAACGCCGCGUGGAGGAUGACGCAUUUCGGUGUGUAAACUCCUUUUAUAUGUCAAGAAAAUGACGGUAGCAUAUGAAUAAGCACCGGCUAACUCCGUGCCAGCAGCCGCGGUAAUACGGAGGGUGCAAGCGUUACUCGGAAUCACUGGGCGUAAAGGGCGCGUAGGCGGGUUGGAAAGUCAGGUGUGAAAUCCUACAGCUUAACUGUAGAACUGCACUUGAAACUUCUAAUCUAGAGUAUGGGAGGGGGAGAUGGAAUUAGUGGUGUAGGGGUGAAGUCCGUAGAUAUCACUAGGAAUACCUAAAGCGAAGGCGAUCUCCUGGAACAUUACUGACGCUAAGGCGUGAAAGCGUGGGGAGCAAACAGGAUUAGAUACCCGUGUAGUC
rnacentral:rRNA from 1 species